ACAGCUUCUCUAGACAACCUGUGCCAGUGCCUCAUCACCCUCACAGUGAUAAAGACAUGGUGCUUCUUUUAAAAGACCAAGAUCCCAGGGACUAAAAAAAUCAGGAGUGACUGCACAGAAAAAUUAGAAAAUCAUAGUGUCAUUAAGGUUGGAAAAAACCUCUAAGAUCACUGAGUACAACCCAGCACUGACAAGUCCACCACUCAACCAUGUCUCUAAGCACCACAUCUACCCAUUUUUUGAACACUUCCAGAGACAGUGACUGCAGCACUUCCCUGUGUAGCCGGUUCCAACGCUUGACUACCCUUUCAAUGAAGAAAUUUUUCCUAAA